UACGGAGGUCUCGAGCGUUAGGCGGAAUCACUGGGCUUAAAGCGUGUGUAGGCGGAUUGGUAAGUACUUUGUGAAAUCCCACGGCUUAACCGUGGAACUGCUUGGUAUACUGCCAGUCUUGAGCCAGCUAGGGGCUACCGGAACAAAUGGUGGAGCGGUGAAAUGCGUAGAUAUCAUUUGGAACGCCAAUGGUGAAAACAGGUAGCUGGGGCUGUGCUGACGCUGAGACACGAAAGCCAGGGGAGCAAACGGG
rnacentral:rRNA from 1 species